ACUGAGACACUGGCCAGACACCUACGGGUGGCUGCAGUCGAGAAUCUUCGGCAAUGGGCGCAAGCCUGACCGAGCGACGCCGCGUGCGGGAUGAAGGCCUUCGGGUUGUAAACCGCUGUCGAAGGGGAGGAAAUUGUAGUGGGUUCACCCAUUAUAUUGACCGAUCCUUGGAGGAAGGGCCGGCUAAUCUCGUGCCAGCAGCCGCGGUAAUACGAGAGGCCCAAACGUUAUUCGGAUUUACUGGGCUUAAAGAGUUCGUAGGCGGUUCGGUAAGUGAGGUGUGAAAGCCCUCGGCUCAACCGAGGAAUUGCGCUUCAAACUGCCGGGCUCGAGGGAGAUAGAGGUGAGCGGAACUGAUGGUGGAGCGGUGAAAUGCGUUGAUAUCAUCAGGAACACCAGAGGCGAAGGCGGCUCACUGGGUCUUUUCUGACGCUGAGGAACGAAAGCUAGGGGAGCAAACGGGAUUAGAUACCCCGGUAGUCCUAGCCGUAAACGAUGAGCACUGGACCGGAGGUCCGCACAGGGUUUCGGUCGUAGCGAAAGUGUUAAGUGCUCCGCCUGGGGAGUGUGGUCGCAAGGCUGA
rnacentral:rRNA from 1 species